rnacentral:rRNA from 1 species
UACGUAGGGGGCUAGCGUUGUCCGGAAUCAUUGGGCGUAAAGAGCGUGUAGGCGGUCCGGUAAGUCCGCUGUGAAAGUCGGGGGGCUCAACCCUCGAAUGCCGGUGGAUACUGUCGGGCUAGAGUACGGAAGAGGCGAGUGGAAUUCCUGGUGUAAGCGGUGAAAUGCGCAGAUAUCAGGAGGAACACCGGUGGCGAAGGCGGCUCUCUGGGACGGUACUGACGCUGAGACGCGAAAGCGUGGGGAGCGAACAGG